UAUCAACGUCAUAAACAUUAAGUUGAAUGUUUAUGACGUUGAAUAUCAACGUCAUAAACAACAAAGUUGAAUGUUUAUGACGUUGAUGUCAACGUCAUAAACAUCUAAGUUAAAUGUUUAUGACGUUGA